rfam:Photobacterium marinum strain AK15 contig2, whole genome shotgun sequence.
GCAAUCUCAGACGUGUUGUUCUGAGACUCAUGUGUUGCGAUUAAUUCAAGCUGAUGUUAUCGCAAUACGCCGUAGGUACUAACGGUGCAUCGUUAGUAGAAGGGCAUUAAUAGCGCUGCUUUGCUGGAAAGAAAAAAGGCGGCAGCAUAUUGAGGGAACCCAACA